AUGCGGCGACCUGGUAGAGGCGGGAGCAAAGGAGAGGCGCCAGGCCCAGGCAGCAGCUCGUGCAACCAUGGCGCGAGGCCUCAGCAGAGAAGCGGUGGCGCGAGGCGAGCCGCAACCACCGGGCGCCGGGCGGAGCUGUGCGGAAGCCGGCCUGAGGUUGAAGGUCAGCGAGGCGGCCAGCGGCUCCUCCCGACUACAGUUGGGGCGAGCGUCUGCGGCGGCUUGCAGGCACGGAUCGGGCUACCGGACCACGCAUCGACGGCGGGCCAAGGCAGGCCCACAGUAGUGGUUUUGACGGAGGUGACCCGGCGUAGAGACGGCUCGGCGGAGCUGACGCCUGACCCGCAGCACCGGGUGGUUCACGGCGGCGGCUCAGGAAAACGAUGGCUCGAGGUGGCCGCGGUGGUCCAACAAGAUGGUGGCGGCUCUACGCAAGGCAGGGGCCGUUCACAGGCGAAACAAGUCAACUUCCGGCUCGUGCAGGGGCGUUGGCGACUCGGAAGCAACACCGCGGUGGCUGGAUGUAGUGGCGCUCGAGGCGACUCACGGCUCACGGCGGCCAGCGCGUUACGGCGGCUCACAGCGGGGCUUCGCAGCGGCGGGUCGACACCGGCCAAGGCGGAGGCAACCGCACGGGCACACGGGCGUGGGCGACUUGGAAUCAGGUACUGGUGGAGGCGAGCAGAUGCUCCAGUGACCCGGAUGGGUGACGAGCUGACGGAGGCGGCGCGUCAAACCGGCCACAGCGGCUCGGCGGCAACGACAGUGGAGCGGAGACGGCUCACAGGUGUCGCUUUCCUGCUCGGGCACGGCGGCUCAGAGCCGGGGUCGGUUCAAAGUUUUCCCCAACAGCGAGGCGGUUCAAGAGACGGCGACUCGGCUCAGAAACGGCGUGUCCAACAAUUCAGAGGCGGGGUCAACCCCGAGCCCGACUCGAAGAAGCACCGGUGGAAGUGGGAUCAACUGCACGCGCCCCUUUUAUCGCCAAGAAAUGGAAGGCCACCAUCCUCGUCCAUGGGGACUAAGAGGUCUAGGCAACUUGGAACUGUCACGCCUCCCCCUAAGGCUCUCCUCGGACUCAAAGAGUUCACGAAGGUUGUAGGUAAGGGAUACCAUAUAAUCGGGCAAUCCCACCAAUAUUGUGAAAAUAUCUCUGGUAACGUGACUUGGACCAGGUACGCCCGCAAGGGAAUGUGCGCCUUCAUCGUGCCGUUUUGUCUGUUCUAUCGUGGCACCGACAUACGGUUAGGGAUGGAGGAGGAGAUAAAUAAGUUAGAAGCAGCGUUUAGUCAUCAUAAGUUAUGGGGUGCAAGAGUAGAUAACACAGUGGCACGGGGUGAGGGCCAAGCAUCGGUCCAAAGCUACGCAAAAGAUUGGGAAAAGAAGAGCUUGGGGCCUAGGCCGUGUUUCCACCCCGACACAGCUAAACAUGGCACGUACCCAAACAUCAAACAUGAAAGUUCGGGUGCUACACGAGCACCUAAGGUCAGGAGCUCUAGGAGCUCUCCGAUCGUUAAUCUAAGAUCCAAUGAUCUAACAGCCGGGGAGCUCCUGGAGCACCUGACCUUAGGUGCUCUCAUAGGACCAGAUACUCUCCGAACCCAAACCUACAGAUUCAGUGCGAGACGAGAUAGCCGUGUCAAAACAAUGCUGCGCAAUAGAUCCGUGCUGCCUUUGAGGGAAAAAAAGGCUUCGGAUUUAUUGGCUCAAAUCACACUGAUGAUAUCCUGCUGCUUCCUGGCGUGCAAGAGCUGCAUCAUGGUGGCAUCUGACAGCUUUAGGUCUCUCCUGCAUAUCGGCUAUCGCUUCUGGUCGUCCGUUAUUAAAAUUACCCUCCAAGUUGGUAAAAAUUAUCUACCAAUGCCAUCCAGACGCGACGAGUUUAAUUCACUGUACGACGGGCAGCCGAGUGUUUGGCCGACCGCUCAUCUAGCGACGAGGAAUCCGACACCCCCGGCCCAUCCAAAAACCUCCCCAGACCGUGCGACUCCAUCCUCCCCAUUUUCUCUCCUCCCUUCUUUCUCGCUUGCGUUCGCCGCCGAUUCACCACCCCGGCCACCACGCCAUACCCUUGCCGGAACUCUACGUCUCCGUCACCUCCAACGCUCCAGCAGGGCUGCAUCCCGCUUCUCCUCCGUCUUCAUUCAGCCCCUGUCCUCUGACUGCCUCGCCAGCAAUGGAUUCGGUUUAGAGUACAUAUACGAGCAGUAUGUUAAGUCGUCCAACGGCUCGUCGGACGAGGAGGAGUACUUCGAUGAGACGGUGAUUAUGCAUGCGUUCCUUGAAGACAUGGAGCGUGCGGAGGAGCAUGUUCUCAAUUUCAAGGGCGCGAUCAAGAGUCAUCGAGUGUGCAAUAGGGCGCGCGACCAUUUGACACUGAUAGCCGACUACUUUGCCCCCGAUGCACUAUUCGCUGACCAUUUUCGCCGGCGUUUUCGGAUGCGUAAGACUGUCUUCGAUCGUUUGUACCAUGGCAUCCGGUCCUACUAUGACUACUUCAUCCUGAAGAAGGACGCCAAUCCGGCAACAUUUAAAGAUUUUAUUCAAAUGCAUCAACAAAUUCGGCAUCGACCAAUUCACGAGCAGCUGAGAAAAGAUCUGAUUGAGUUUGUUACAAGAACAUAG
rnacentral:rRNA from 1 species